rnacentral:rRNA from 1 species
UACGUAGGGGGCAAGCGUUGUCCGGAAUUAUUGGGCGUAAAGCGCGCGCAGGCGGUCCUUUAAGUCUGAUGUGAAAGCCCACGGCUCAACCGUGGAGGGUCAUUGGAAACUGGGGGACUUGAGUACAGAAGAGGAAAGCGGAAUUCCACGUGUAGCGGUGAAAUGCGUAGAGAUGUGGAGGAACACCAGUGGCGAAGGCGGCUUUCUGGUCCGGAACUGACGCUGAGGUGCGAAAGCGUGGGGAGCGAACAGG